GAUUUAGAUCCUGCCACUCUCUAAUAAAACAUUAGCUGCACACUUAAUAAAGAUUUGUGAAGUCUAUUGUAAACACAAAGCUGUAGUUCCUAUAGAUGGGGCUAUAAGGAGUGUGUUCAAAAUGACUGUAAAGAUGAUAAGUGUACUGCAUGUGUUUCUGUUUGUGUGCAUGUCCACUGCACUUGUGUGUCUCAGUGUUUGCAGGCUACACACGCCCACCUCUGUGUGCUUGCUCUAUUUAAAGAGCUCUGCAGUGUCUUACCUUGCUUGUUUUGUCCUUGACUUUGUCAACUUUUCGUGCUUUUUCUGUUCUUAGAAAGCGUGAUGCAAUCUAAGUUAUUUUGUCAGACAUACAUCGUGGUAUCAGACCAGACGGGCAUAUCUAAAAGCAUCAGCUGUCAUAGAAGAGAUAUUACAGAAAAAUGUACACCUGCAGUGUUUGGGCUAAAGUGAUGGGAUGGAAAAAGUAGCUCUCCUUUGGGAGAUUAUAAAAGACAGAUAUUAAUGUAGUCACAAAAAAAUACUGCAGUUCUUAUGAUGUCCUCGCAGGAAGCAGGUGCUGUGGUGACAGGAAAUUUGUAUCUGUGCAAAAAAAAUCCACUUAUCCUUAUUUUUUUUUAUUCAGAUUUAUUAGCUGUGCAGUUAUUGAUAUGAUUUUCUUUUAUUUAUUUUUUUUCAUGCCCAACACUUUUUUGUUGCUUCCGAGAGCAGUGAGUUAGGCUAGUUGCUAAAGUGUUUUUUUUUUCCUGUGUGUGUUUUACAAGUGGUGUCAUUAAGGCAAGGUCAUUAUUAAGUGGCACUUGUUGAAUCUACAUUGCGUUUGUGCUGUAAUAGCAUACACGUUUCUGCGUAUUCACAUUCCUUUCCUUGAUAUACCAUUCAAUGAAUGUAUUAAGUUACCAUGGGAACCAUGACAUCUGUGACACCACGUGAUAUUAUCUCUGAUUUUCAGAAAAAAAGAAACACACUUUACCACAUGUGGUCCGUUGUCCCUCUCCAGCUGUGAAUGAUUCGUUUGAGUGCAUUAGAAAGGUGGGUGGCUUCCUGUUAACGACGGAGAUGUAUUCAAAAAACUGUGUUAGCAAUAGGGAUGCCAAACACCUUUACUUGUUCUUUUAUUCUCUUUAGAUUUCAU
ensembl:lncRNA